rnacentral:rRNA from 1 species
UACGGGGGGGGCAAGCGUUGUUCGGAAUUACUGGGCGUAAAGGGCUCGUAGGCGGCCAACUAAGUCAGACGUGAAAUCCCCAGGCUCAACCUGGGAACUGCGUCUGAUACUGGAUGGCUUGAAUCCGGGAGAGGGAUGCAGAAUUCCAGGUGUAGCGGUGAAAUGCGUAGAUAUCUGGAGGAAUACCGGUGGCGAAGGCGGCAUCCUGGACCGGCAUUGACGCUGAGGAGCGAAAUCUAGGGGAGCAAACGGG